AGGUAAGCUACUAAGAGCGAAUGGUGGAUGCCUUGACUGGUAAAGGCGAUGAAGGACGUACUAGACUGCGAUAAGCUACGGGGAGCUGUCAAGAAGCUUUGAUCCGUAGAUUUCCGAAUGGGGCAACCCAAUGUAUAGAGAUAUACAUUACCUAUAUAGGAGCGAACGAGGGGAAUUGAAACAUCUUAGUACCCUCAGGAAAAGAAAUCAAUAGAGAUUGCGUCAGUAGCGGCGAGCGAAAGCGCAAGAGGGCAAACCCAGUGCUUGCACUGGGGGUUGUAGGACUGCAAUGUGCAAGAGGUAAGUUUAGCAGAACAUUCUGGAAAGUAUAACCAUAGAGGGUGAUAGUCCCGUAUGCGAAAAACAAACCUUAGCUAGCAGUAUCCUGAGUAGGGCGGGACACGAGGAAUCCUGUCUGAAUCCGGGUCGACCACGAUCCAACCCUAAAUACUAAUACCAGAUCGAUAGUGCACAAGUACCGUGAGGGAAAGGUGAAAAGAACUGAGGUGAUCAGAGUGAAAUAGAACCUGAAACCAUUUGCUUACAAUCAUUCAGAGCCCUAUGUAGCAAUACAGGGUGAUGGACUGCCUUUUGCAUAAUGAGCCUGCGAGUUGUGGUGUCUGGCAAGGUUAAGCAAACGCGAAGCCGUAGCGAAAGCGAGUCUGAAUAGGGCGCUUAGUCAGAUGCUGCAGACCCGAAACGAAGUGAUCUAUCCAUGAGCAAGUUGAAGCUAGUGUAAGAACUAGUGGAGGACUGAACCCAUAGGCGUUGAAAAGCCCCGGGAUGACUUGUGGAUAGGGGUGAAAGGCCAAUCAAACUUCGUGAUAGCUGGUUCUCUCCGAAAUAUAUUUAGGUAUAGCGUUGUGUCGUAAUAUAAGGGGGUAGAGCACUGAAUGGGCUAGGGCAUACACCAAUGUACCAAACCCUAUCAAACUCCGAAUACCUUAUAUGUAAUCACAGCAGUCAGGCGGCGAGUGAUAAAAUCCGUCGUCAAGAGGGAAACAACCCAGACUACCAGCUAAGGUCCCUAAAUCUUACUUAAGUGGAAAACGAUGUGAAGUUACUUAAACAACCAGGAGGUUGGCUUAGAAGCAGCCAUCCUUUAAAGAAAGCGUAAUAGCUCACUGGUCUAGUGAUUUUGCGCGGAAAAUAUAACGGGGCUAAAGUAAGUACCGAAGCUGUAGACUUAGUUUACUAAGUGGUAGGAGAGCGUUCUAUUUGCGUCGAAGGUAUACCGGUAAGGAGUGCUGGAGCGAAUAGAAGUGAGCAUGCAGGCAUGAGUAGCGAUAAUUAAUGUGAGAAUCAUUAACGCCGUAAACCCAAGGUUUCCUACGCGAUGCUCGUCAUCGUAGGGUUAGUCGGGUCCUAAGUCGAGUCCGAAAGGGGUAGACGAUGGCAAAUUGGUUAAUAUUCCAAUACCAACAUUAGUGUGCGAUGGAAGGACGCUUAGGGCUAAGGGGGCUAGCGGAUGGAAGUGCUAGUCUAAGGUCGUAGGAGGUUGUACAGGCAAAUCCGUAUAACAAUACUCCGAGAACUGAAAGGCUUUUUGAAGUCUUCGGAUGGAUAGAAGAACCCCUGAUGCCGUCGAGCCAAGAAAAGUUUCUAAGUUUAGCUAAUGUUGCCCGUACCGUAAACCGACACAGGUGGGUGGGAUGAGUAUUCUAAGGCGCGUGGAAGAACUCUCUUUAAGGAACUCUGCAAAAUAGCACCGUAUCUUCGGUAUAAGGUGUGGUUAGCUUUGUAUUAGGAUUUACUCCGAAAGCAAGGAAACUUACAACAAAGAGUCCCUCCC
rnacentral:rRNA from 1 species